rnacentral:rRNA from 1 species
AUGCCUCCCCUGCAACUGCUCUCCGACGAGCUCCAGCAGCUCCGCCACGUUCCGGUGCCGCAGGCUGACCUCAUCUUCCUUCUGCCCUAUUGCUGCCGCUGUUUUCGCCUGUCAACGAACGAGCAGCGCCUUCAGGGUUUUUCGCCAAGUCCCUCUCCGACUAGUGUACCACUACCGUCGACAAAGAUAUGUGCAUCGCAAGCCUCAAGUUCAACUACCGUCGACCGCGAAGGGCUCAGAGUCAUCAAGCACCUCUCCGAACGAAUGGGAAUGACUACCGUCGCAAAGAUCGAGAGUACCUCUACGAAAACGCCAAGUACCCCUUCAUGUCGGCAAGACCCGCAAGUCGAACCCCGAACGAUCGACGACUCGUGGACCAUGUACAACUUCAGGCGCCGAACACCGAGUAGCACAAAUGCCAAGUACCCCCAGAGACCACUUGGACAUCAAGUACUGUCGAACCGUGAAGACUCUGUGGACGUCAAGUUCCUCGCCUGA